rnacentral:rRNA from 1 species
GGAAACUGAGGAUAAUACUGGAUAGGCAAUUUCUCCUGCAAUGGUUUUUUGUUUAAAUGUUUUUUCGCUUAAGGAUGGGUCUGCGGCCGAUUAGGUAGUUGGUUAGGUAAUGGCUUACCAAGCCGUUGAUCGGUACGGGUUGUGAGAGCAAGAGCCCGGAGAUGGAACCUGAGACAAGGUUCCAGGCCCUACGGGGUGCAGCAGGCGCGAAACCUCCGCAAUGUGAGAAAUCGCGACGGGGGGAUCCCAAGUGCCAUUCUUAACGGGAUGGCUUUUCAUUAGUGUAAAGAGCUUUUGGAAUAAGGGCUGGGCAAGACCGGUGCCAGCCGCCGCGGUAACACCGGCAGCUCUAGUGGUAGCAGUUUUUAUUGGGCCUAAAGCGUCCGUAGCCGGUUUAAUAAGUCUCUGGUGAAAUCCUGUAGCUUAACUGUGGGAAUUGCUGGAGAUACUAUUAGACUUGAGACCGGGAGAGGUUAGAGGUACUCCCAGGGUAGAGGUGAAAUUCUGUAAUCCUGGGAGGACCGCCUGUUGCGAAGGCGUCUAACUGGAACGGUUCUGACGGUGAGGGACGAAAGUUAGGGGCGCGAACCGGAUUAGAUACCCGGGUAGUCCUAACCGUAAACGAUGCGGACUUGGUGUUGGGGUGGCUUUGAGCUGCUCCAGUGCCGAAGGGAAGCUGUUAAGUCCGCCGCCUGGGAAGUACGGUCGCAAGACUGAAACUUAA